UACGUAGGGUGCAAGCGUUGUCCGGAAUUAUUGGGCGUAAAGAGCUCGUAGGCGGUUUGUCGCGUCGACCGUGAAAACCCGGGGCUCAACUUCGGGCUUGCGGUCGAUACGGGCGGCUCGAGGCCGGUAGGGGGAAGUGGAAUUCCCGGUGUAGUGGUGGAAUGCGUAGAUAUCGGGAGGAACACCAGUGGCGAAGGCGGCUUCCUGGACCGGUUCUGACACUGAGGAGCGAAAGCGUGGGGAGCGAUCCGG
rnacentral:rRNA from 1 species